AACCUUACCAGGUCUUGACAUCCUCUGACAACCCUAGAGAUAGGGCUUUCCCUUCGGGGACAGAGUGACAGGUGGUGCAUGGUUGUCGUCAGCUCGUGUCGUGAGAUGUUGGGUUAAGUCCCGCAACGAGCGCAACCCUUGAUCUUAGUUGCCAGCAUUCAGUUGGGCACUCUAAGGUGACUGCCGGUGACAAACCGGAGGAAGGUGGGGAUGACGUCAAAUCAUCAUGCCCCUUAUGACCUGGGCUACACACGUGCUACAAUGGACAGAACAAAGGGCUGCGAGACCGCAAGGUUUAGCCA
rnacentral:rRNA from 1 species